AGUCUACAAGAUUCAAAAUCAUCAGAAGCUGAUAAGGAUGGUAGAAACGUCGAAGAUUUUGAUGUGAUACCCAAACAGGAAUUUAGAGAAGCAACCUCUUAUGAAAACAGAAAUAGCUCUUGUUCCAGGUGCACGAGUUCUAGUUUGUGCACAAGAGAACCACCCCAUAACAAGAUUGCUCCAGCAUCACCAGAUGUUUAUGCUGCAAUUCGUGGUGAUGAGGCACAUCACAUCGCU
rnacentral:misc_RNA from 1 species